rnacentral:tRNA from 1 species
GGUGAGAUGGCCGAGUGGUUGAAGGCGCAUACCUGGAAAGUAUGUAUAUGCACAAACAUAUCAUGGGUUCGAAUCCCUUUCUCACCU